ACGAAAAGAUGACAGUCUUAUUGGUAGAUUAAGGUGGAACAGAGGAAGCUACAAUGUGAUAAGAUAGAUUGUGCUCGACGCGCCGACCAUUAAGACUCGGCGAUUCUGGAAGACGAUUAUUCAUGGUGUAUUGUGAAUAAUGCAGUAUUGGAAUCUUUAAGUCGAACCAAAACAAAACACGUUUUCGGUUAUAAACUAAUAGGCUUCAACACAUCAACAAAUACAGUUCGACCUGAUCGAUCCUUCUGUGAUGCAAGCUGUUCGUCGCACCCAAUUUACAGAUGUGUUUCGCGUUGUGUUUGAUAUCGAUACUUUGCUCCCAGGCUGGGAAUGGGCUGGGUACACCGCAAAGCAACACUAAACUGAACAGCUAGAGCUCUGCCUCCGUCUUUCAAAGCAUGCAGCACAGAGCCCGGUGGUAGUUGAGUAUUUCCGGUGGGAAAGGAUACUCUAACGCGAUCCGCAGUGAUCGUCAUUCGUCAUGCUUGAGGAAGUAGAACGGAACGCAGUACUGUACAUCACACACUUAUGUUCUUUGUUGGAUGAGUUUCAUGUACGUAGUAAGUUGGAGCGGCUCGUGUUAGAAGCCGGCGAAACUUUAAACACGGUAAGAUGCUAAAAAAGCUUUUUAUGUUGAUGGUUGAAGAAAAUUGCCCAAUCGAUUUUCUUUGUAGUCUCAUCAUGCGCAAAGACGACUAGAACGCCCUUAUCUUGUAUUUGUUAACAAAUAUAUCUGAUCAAGUUGACUUUCAAUGCAAUUGAUUGAACACGUUAUGUACAUUUUAAAAAUGUGGGACCAGCAAAUCAAAUUGCAUUCAGUUUAUAAUGUGGCAAAUAUGUCAAUACAGUUUAUGAUCCCGCUUUAAUGCACGGUAUAAUUGAGCAUCAUCAACGAAACAACACGCACACCGCCGUAUAUCAAGAGAAAAAAAACCCUGUAAAUAUCGAUUCAACAAGUCCCUGCACUCCGGCCCUAAAUGAUGAAAAUACACACCAAAACAAAUAAAACUAAACAAAACCAUGGGACUAACGAACUAAGUGCCAAACGCUUUAGCGCUGGAUUCCAUUUCCCAAGCGGAAAAGUACCUUGCGAAAAAGGAAUGUUCAUCUUUCGUCGGCGGUCUAACGUCAGUCGAUAUUCCGUGCUGCUUGACAAAGGUGUGCUCAUAUUACUAUAAUAGGAAUGUGAUAGUGCCGCGCAAUGGACCCGUUUUCCAGCGUUAGCAUGUGCCAUCCGGUGUACUGUCGUGCUCGAAGAGGCAUAUUUUAGGUCCAAGCGACAGGAUAUUACAACACUACCAUAGACACACUACUACCAAAUGAGCAUUGGGAGGUCCGAAACAUCCGUUCGGCUUUGGUUUUGUGAUUACCUUGACUUUUUCGUACACCACAUCCGGUCACAGCGUCCAUGGCCUUCGCUGCUGAGGUUUGCUUUCCCACAUACAAGUACCCGUUGAAUUUUGCAGCCUCAAGUGUAAUAAAUAUUAGGAAUUGGCAAAAGGACGCUCGCAAAAAUUUAGUACCGUCCGCAAGCCUGGCCAGAAACAGUUUCAUUAUUUCGUAUGAUAGUUCAAUUCGGAAACAAACAAGACACAUCAAUAAGAAGAAAAAUAGUUAAUGUGUUAGAAUUAUCUUCCAUAUGAGGAGUUAAUUCAAGGUGAUGACGAACAAAUUGCCUUCCCGAGCAUUAAAAACAGAUUAAUCAUUGGAAAAUUUAACUUUGUACAAACAGAGCAUAACGUCCUUGU